UUACCAGUGGCAACGCAUGUUGGAGGCGGUACCCGGAGAGAGAGAGGCUGCUGCUUCUGCAAGCUCCGGUGGGCAAUUUGGGAAAAUUAAGCUCUUACCUGUUUCUGAUCAAGAAAAUUAAUGAUUCGCAUGGGCUGUCAUCAAUUGAGCAUGGAUGGACAAAAAGGAUUCAUCUGAAAGACACACAAACAAGGGAAAUCCUAAACUGGACAAAAAGUAGACGCAGUUUUGGAGAGCACAUCAGCCUGCAAGAGGAAGGCACACGGACAGCUUCUCCUUCAGCUGUCUGCUCGAUCCAGCUUUUUAUGCAUUUUCUAAUAUAAUGUGGAGCUCCUGCAGUCUGUGGUCCACAUCUGGUGCAAUAGGAUUUUUCCAUUUUCUGUGGAAGGUGAUGAAUUGUGUGCGCAAGAGCACGUCGGUGCAAAGCCGAGCAGUGAACCUCCAGCAGCAGCAGCAGCUUCAUCUACCUCUCCUCUUCUUCCCUGUUUCUCUCCUCCUCCUCCUCCUCCUCCUCCUCUUUGGAGCAGACUCUCUGGCGCCGGCGCCGUGACGUCACCACCCAUUCACAGCAGAGCCCUCUAGCCAGCCCUCGCGGCGCCGCUGAGGCGGUUUCCAUGGAGACGGGGUUUCGGGAGGUUGUCAAUCAGAGGUCGGUUCUCAGCUGAUCAACUUUGGGGCCGAACCGGGGAAGUCUUGGGUCCGCUAAGGGUUUUCUUCUUCUUCUUCUUCUCUGGUGGUGGUGGGUGGCCACACUCUCACUCCACUGUAGCCUUUACGCAUGUGAUGCUUAUUCUUUUGGGUAGAGGUUCUCAAAGUGGGGUCCGCGGACCCCCAGGGGUCGUUGAGGGGGUUCCAGGGGGUCCCCAGCAAAAAAAGGGGAAAUAAUUUAUUUUCACUAUAAUUCCAUCCAUAAGUAACAUAAUGACAGAAUUUAUGACCAAAAAAAUGAAAGUCGUAAUUAUGUUCUUUAAAAAUUUGAAUGAUCUUUAAAAUUCUGACUCACUAGUGAGAGAGACCAAACAAGGAGGAUGACUAGUAGAACAUGACAAGCAUAGCCAUCGGUGUGUGAAUGAGUAUUUAGAUUAGAUCCUGAUGGGCAAAGUUGGCACCUUAGCAGCCUCUGCCAUCAGUGU